UGGGGAAUAUUGGACAAUGGGCGCAAGCCUGAUCCAGCCAUGCCGCGUGAGUGAUGAAGGCCUUAGGGUUGUAAAGCUCUUUCGGCGGGGACGAUAAUGACGGUACCCGCAGAAGAAGCCCCCGGCUAACUUCGUGCCAGCAGCCGCGGUAAUACGAAGGGGGCUAGCGUUGUUCGGAAUCACUGGGCGUAAAGGGCGCGUAGGCGGCUUUGUAAGUCGGGGGUGAAAGCCUGUGGCUCAACCACAGAAUUGCCUUCGAUACUGCAUGGCUUGAGACCGGAAGAGGUAAGUGGAACUGCGAGUGUAGAGGUGAAAUUCGUAGAUAUUCGCAAGAACACCAGUGGCGAAGGCGGCUUACUGGUCCGGUUCUGACGCUGAGGCGCGAAAGCGUGGGGAGCAAAACAGGAUUAGAUACCCUGGUAGUCCACGCCGUAAAACGAUGAAUGCCAGCCGUUGGGCAGCUUGCUGCUCAGUGGCGCAGCUAACGC
rnacentral:rRNA from 1 species